rnacentral:misc_RNA from 1 species
AAGUCGUAACAAGGUUUCCGUAGGUGAACCUGCGGAAGGAUCAUUAACACGUAUCCAAACGUUAAAACAACCCUGUGAACCUUCAGCGUGUUCUUGCAGGACAUCAAAACAGCAAUCCCGAGUAAAUCAGGCGCUAAAGAAUUACAGAUUUUGAUUUUGGGAAGUUCUGUGUGUACGUGGACGCUAGGGAUCAAUGUUCAGGGUGGCGCAGUCAACGAUCGCUGUAGGUCCACACGACCGGCGACCGGGGUGGAGGCGAAAGCCCCUACGUCAUCCCUAUGUACCCUCCGGGACUUGGCGAAAGCUGACUCCGUCAUAAAUCGAACAACUGUUAACAAUGGAUAUCUUGGUUCUC